rnacentral:rRNA from 1 species
UGCCAGACUCCUACGGGAGGCAGCAGUGGGGAAUAUUGGGCAAUGGCGGCAACUCUGACCCAGCAACGCCGCGUGAAUGAUGAAGGUCUUCGGAUUGUAAAGUUCUUUUCUAAGGGAAGAAGAAAGUGACGGUACCUUAGGAAUAAGCCUCGGCUAACUACGUGCCAGCAGCCGCGGUAAUACGUAGGGGGCAAGCGUUAUCCGGAAUUACUGGGUGUAAAGGGAGCGUAGACGGUUAAGUAAGUCUGGAGUGAAAGGCCGGGGCCCAACCCCGGGACGGCUCUGGAAACUAUUGAACUUGAGUGCAGGAGAGGGAAGCGGAAUUCCUGGUGUAGCAGUGAAAUGCGUAGAUAUUAGGAGGAACACCAGUGGCGAAGGCGGCUUACUGGACUGUAACUGACGUUGAGGCUCGAAAGCGUGGGGAGCAAGCGGGAUUAGAUCCCCCAGUA